AAGAAAAACCAAAUUUUUGUUUUCAUGCAAUGCAGUAGAAUUGCAACCACAUGGCGGCGAAUUUAUUUAGGAUGAGGAUGGGGGUUUGUCGGGGCCCCUUUACGCCAUCACAAGUUUGGGACUAAAAAUCGUAUAAUGAAUUCCUCCCUUCAGCAAACUUCCUGUCCUGCUCUCUCCUGACAAACAGUUCGCACAGGGUGUCCUAGCGUGCUACUUCCCAUAAAUAUGUCUCCCGGCAUUUGGGGACGGGACAAAAUAUGAAAGGCCUACGACACACAACCUCCAAGUGAGUGUGCCUCCAUCUGUGUGUGCAGGCGGCAGAAAGCCGCCAGGAUGAACCGAAAAAUGUUGACAGCCGUUCAACGUACACAUUUUGCUGUGAACCUGUUCGUUUGACUUGUUUGAUGGUUUUAUGAGUGUCAAAACUUGACAGCUUAAUAGACAUUUUUAUGGCAGGCAAUCGCACUUUCAUUGUUAUUGGGGAGAGAGAUACACAGGAGAGGGUGAGGGAGAGAGAGAAGGGAGCACGCAUGUACAUACAUAUACAGCGAUGGUAUGUUGGUCGUCGUUCCUGCCCCAUAGAAAGCAAGGGAUGGAUGCUGUAAGCCCCGCUAACGGCGAAAAAGCCUUUGCAAGCACACACACACCCCUCCAAAUUCAUACUACCCAGUGGACAAAAUCUUCGGCAACGCGCAAGCCCCUAAUACAUUUCCUGGCCUCUGUGCCACGCCAAGAACACUGUCGUGCGACCUUGUCCGCAAGAAAGAUGGUGCGAAGAGCUACGAAUCCAUUGGUCGAACGCUUCCUCGCUGGACAUCUAAAGCUCUGAGAUCUGUACAGAAUAGUAGUAGGUCGCAAACGCUUUCUUCUUGGUGUUGCACACAUCCACCUCCACUUCGGGUAUAAAAUCCAAAUUAUGCGCGUAAAAAAUGAUGGCUGAGGGAUAUGGUAAAACUAUACAUAUAAUUCUUCAAAUAAAUACCUUAAACCAAUUGUAUCACUGGAGCCAAUGACCUAGUUCACCAAGAAAAUUUUAUCAGGGAUCAAUGAUGGAUCUCCUACGAUAGUUCUGAUGAUCGCACAUAAAUAAAUGAAUUCAUGAUCAGCUGAAAAGAAGCGUUAAAAUAGUAUGAUACUUAGUUCGUAUUUAAUAUGAUUUAGGAUUAAAUGAAAGCUUAAAUCAAGAAACGAAAAACGCAAAGAAAGACAAGCUGACUGCUGUGAGACUAUAAGCUGGGCGCUAAGAAUCUAUAAGACGGGGGCUGUCAAAGCUAGCUUGUAUGAAACUAUCAAAGCUGGCUAUCAACAAUUGUUAAUUUCAUUGGAGGAUAAGCUUAAUAAUAAAUGUUGCGCCCAACAGCA
rnacentral:sRNA from 1 species